CUGCGUCUGGAAAGAAUUUCGGUUGGGGAUGGGCUCGCGGCCUAUCAGCUUGUUGGUGAGGUAAUGGCUCACCAAGGCGUCGACGGGUAGCCGGCCUGAGAGGGUGACCGGCCACACUGGGACUGAGACACGGCCCAGACUCCUACGGGAGGCAGCAGUGGGGAAUAUUGCACAAUGGGCGCAAGCCUGAUGCAGCAACGCCGCGUGAGGGACGACGGCCUUCGGGUUGUAAACCUCUUUUAGCAGGGAAGAAGCGAAAGUGACGGUACCUGCAGAAAAAGCGCCGGCUAACUACGUGCCAGCAGCCGCGGUAAUACGUAGGGCGCAAGCGUUAUCCGGAAUUAUUGGGCGUAAAGAGCUCGUAGGCGGUUUGUCGCGUCUGCUGUGAAAUCCGGAGGCUCAACCUCCGGCCUGCAGUGGGUACGGGCAGACUAGAGUGCGGUAGGGGAGAUUGGAAUUCCUGGUGUAGCGGUGGAAUGCGCAGAUAUCAGGAGGAACACCGAUGGCGAAGGCAGAUCUCUGGGCCGUAACUGACGCUGAGGAGCGAAAGGGUGGGGAGCAAACAGGCUUAGAUACCCUGGUAGUCCACCCCGUA
rnacentral:rRNA from 1 species